AUGUUGUUGUGUGACAGGGACGCAGCGCUGGGUGUGAAGGCUGAUGUUGACGGGCUGUUGGAGGGCUUCACUACAGUGGAGGGCUCCCUCUCUGGCCUGGAGGAAAAAGUGCAGGAGAGCCUGGACAUAGUGGAUGACAUCAGCAGCAACCUCACACAGACCAAGGCCCAGUUGUCUCCAGCGGUGAAGGCGCUAGGGGAGGUGUCUGCCCUGGCUGAGGGGAUGAAGCCUCAGCUGGAGGGGCUCAGGGCUCUGGUGCGCUCUGGAGAUAUGCUGGCCCAGAAUGCAACAGAAGAGGCCGAUAAAGCUAAGAGGGAGGCAGACGCUGCGGCCAAGGAGCUGGCAUCCCUGGAGAAGCAGCUGGAGCAGCUGCGUGCUGCAGAGAGGACCAGUGGGCGUGGCGAUGGGACGGGGACAGCAGGGGCUCGUCUCCAGAAGCUGCAGGAGGAGGCUGGUUCUCUGGCCCAGGACACUGGAGACAUGAUAAAGGCACUAGCAGGUAAAGCAGACUCUCUGCAUAGUCUACAGGAUGAGGUCCUACUGAAGUCCCAGAGGCUGACUGGCCUGGAAGCCAAACUGCUGGACCUUCUGGCUGACAUGAGACAGAAGGUCACGAUCUUCUCCACCUGCCAGGGCUGA
rnacentral:lncRNA from 1 species